AGAAAAAUGGUAGCCAUUGGA
rnacentral:miRNA from 1 species